rnacentral:lncRNA from 1 species
ACUCGCCGAGGGGGAGGGGCUGGAAGAUGGCGGCGGACGCACACCCACCCGACCGCGACAGAGCUUAGGCCCCUAGCCCGCGCCGCCGCCCGCUGCUCGCAGCCACUGUGGGCAGCCCUGCUCUGUCCCGCGUUGCUGGUAGAGCCGCCCCGCGGAGGCGUGGGACCAGGGUGGCGUCCGCAUCCCCUGCCAGCGCGCCUUCGCCCGGGUCCGUCCAGGGAGCACCUGUGCACGGCCAUAUUGGAUUCUGUGCCCCAGUCACUGCCUCAGCGCGGCGGGAAAGGAGAGGAGUUCAACAAUUUUUAUGAAUUUCUAAUCCAACCUCAUCAUCCUAUGGGAAACAGAAGACCACCAAGAACAGCCAGCUGAGACAGAAUUUCACUGUGUUGCCCAAGCCAAUCUUAAACUCCUGGUCUCAAGCGAUCCUCCUGCCUUGGCCUCCCACUGUGCCUGGCCUAUGGACUCUGAAUUUUUUUAAAAGACUGGAAAAAACUUUUAUAAGAGAAUUGGAAAUUUGGACAAUGGAAUCUCAUUCUGUCACCAGGCUGAAGUGCAGUGACGUGAUCUUGGCUCACUGCAACCUCCACCUCCUGGGUUCAAGCGAUUCUCCUGCCUCAGCCUCCUGAGUAGCUGGGAUUACAGGUAUCUUGGCAGUAACCUCCUCCAUAUAUUUCCUUGGCCCUCAGCUUACAUCUAGCAAAAUGACUCUACUGGUUCCAGGCUUCACAUGCAUACAACAUGGUGUUGGAGGAACAGAGAUGUUUUCUCUUCCUGGUGUUUUCCCAGACAUUUCUUAGCUGGCAUUUCAAACAAGGGUCCUGAAAUUCACCCUGGUUGGGUCGUGUUCUCCCCUUCCCAUUCCCCAUCCCCACCCUCAACCGAAAAAUGAUGUAAGCAGGGGAAAUUGAAUGUACCAAUGUUUGUUUUUAAACAAGCCACAGACCCCUCCCCAACUCCCCGACUGAAGCUUGAAGUGGGAUCAGCUUUCCCUAAAGUACUUGAGCUUAUGGUAAAGCAUAUAUGUUAUCCAAGUUAAAGUCUGGACGCUGUUAGUAAUGGGAAGGCAAGUAAUGAAUGUUAGCUAUGGAGCCAACAGACAGUGUCCACUCCAUUGUCUUUAAGGCCCAACUAAAGAUAACCUCUUUACCAAUGUCGGUUUAUUUAUUCAUUUAUUUAUUCAUUGAGAUGGAGUCUCACUCUCUCACCCAAGCUGGAGUGCAGUGGAAUGAUCUCAGCUGACUGCAAUUUCUGCCUCCCAGGUUCAAGCAAUCUCCUGCUUCAGCCUCCCAAGUAGCUGGGAUUACAGGCGCACACCACCAUGCCCGGCUAAUUUUUGUAUUUUUAGUAGAGAUAGGGUUUCACCAUGUUGGCCAAGCUGGUCUCGGACACCUGACCUCAAGUGAUCUGCCUGCCUCGGCCCCCAAAGGUGUGAGCCACUGCACCUGGCUACAAUGUCAGUUUCUAUAAAAACUGCCUUGACUUGUUUUGUUUGCUUGUUUUGUUUGUUUGUGUUUUAAUUUUUAUUAUUUUUUUUUAGAGACAGGGUCUCAAUCUGUUGUCUAGGCUUGAGUGCAGUGGUGCAAUCAUAGCUCACUGAAGUGUUGGACUCCCAGGCUCAAGCAGUCCUCCCACCUCAGCCUCCCAAGUAGCUGAGACUACAGGCAUGCACCACCCUGUCUGGCUAAUUUUUUAUUUUUAGUAGAGAUGAGGUCUCACUAUGUUGCCCAAGGUGGCCUCAAACUCCUGGCCUCAAGUACUCCUGUGGCCUUAGCCUCCCAAAGCUCUGGGAUUGCAGGUAUGAGCCGCCAUGCCUGGCCUACUGUAUAUUUUAUGCAUUUGAUAUAAGUCUUGCCUCCCUAAGUAUAUUACAAGUCCCUUGAAGUUAAAGACAUUAGAUUCCUACUCAGUGCUGAGCUGCAACAGAGAGCACUCAAUGAUGGAUAAAAUAGUUUUAGCAUGCAUUCAGCGAUAUAUAUUUAGAAAGUGGAACUAGGUGGUUGAAAAAAGUGUAUAGAUGGGUGGAAGGGAAUAUUACAGCUCUUAGAAUUGUCCUAAGGUGAGAGUAACAAAUUAAGCAAUGAGUCCCUGGGUUCACUCAAGCAACUUCACUCUCUAAAACAAGAGCCCACAGAAUCCCAUUUCUGCUUUCAGAAUGAGUUUGAGGCCAAUAUUAUUUCCAUUUUUUUUCUUUUUCUUUCUUUCUUUUUUUUUUUUUUUUUUUUGAGACGGAGUUUCACUCUUGUUGCCCAGGCUGUUUUGAUCUCGGCUCACUGCAACCUCUGCCCCUGGGUUCAAGCGAUUCUCCUGUCUCAACCUCCCAAGCUGGGAUUACAAGCAUGCGCUACCACACCUGGCUAAUUUUGUAUUUUUAAUAGAGACGGGGUUUCUCUGUGUUGGUCAGGCUGGUCUCAAACUCCCAACCUCAGGUGAUCUGCCCACCUUGGCCCAGCCUCCAAUAUGAUUUUCUAAUAGCUGUGUUUGAUGAUUAUAUUUAUUCCUCCAUCAGUAGCUUUUUUAGCCUUGAAAAUAUCUAUUUAAGUUUCUUAUUUCCUUUGGAUCUAUCAAAGUGUUUUUCCCCAAGUGGCACCUGGGAAAACAUAUUCUAUUCAUUUAUUUUAUAACUGUUCCCUUGACCUCUUUAUUGCUUCCCUAUUACAACCCAAGAUGCUCUUGUAAACCUGACUUAAUAUUGGCAGUCUUCAUCCCUUGCAAAUGGAAGUGAUGACAGACCCAAUACUUUGUGUAAAAAUAUUUUGCUAUUUCUAUACAAAAUAUUUUAUUAAUGGAAACCACAUGUUAUGUAUUUUACAUAUGUUAUGACUUGAAAUUUAUGUUAUGACUUGAAAUUGGGGAAUCUGAUAUGUCUCUAAUAAUAAAG